AUUGAACGCUGGCGGCAGGCCUAACACAUGCAAGUCGAACGAGUGGCGGACGGGUGAGUACUGUCUGGGAAACUGCCUGAUGGAGGGGGAUAACUACUGGAAACGGUAGCUAAUACCGCAAACCAUCAGAUGUUCCCAGAUGGGAUUAGCUAGUUGGGGGGGUAUCGGCUAACCAAGACGACGAUCCCUAGCUGGUCUGAGAGGAUGAACAGCCACACUGGAACUGGAACACGGUCCAGCCUCCUACGGGAGGCAGCAGUGGGGAAUAUUGCACAAUGGGCGCAAGCCUGAUGCAGCCAUGCCGCGUGUAUGAAGAAGGCCUUCGGGUUGUAAAGUACUUUCAGCGGGGAGGCGUUACCCGCAGAAGAAGCACCGGCUAACUCCGUGCCAGCAGCCGCGGUAAUUC
rnacentral:rRNA from 1 species